rnacentral:rRNA from 1 species
GGAUAACUGUGGUAAUUCUAGAGCUAAUACAUGCACCUGAGCUCUGACCUUCACUCCCCGCGCAGCCUCGCGCCGCGCGGGGUUGGGGGCAGAGCGCUUUUAUUAGAUCCGAAAAUAAACCGGCCGGACUUCGGUCCGCAAACCCAAAAAUGAUCGGAUGAAUCCGAAUAACUUAGCCGAGCGCUGCGGUCACAGAACCGGCGCCGUAUCUUUCGAGCGUCUGCCUUAUCAGCUCUCGAUUGUAGGUUAAACGCCUACAAUGGCUGUAACGGGUGACGGGGAAUCAGGGUUCGAUUCCGGAGAGGGAGCCUGAGAAAUGGCUACCACAUCUAAGGAAGGCAGCAGGCACGCAAAUUACCCACUCCCGGCACGGGGAGGUAGUGACGAAAAAUAACGAUGUGGGACUCUUCCGAGGCCCCGCAAUCGGAAUGAGUCCAACCUAAAACCUUGGACGAGGAUCCAUUGGAGGGCAAGUCUGGUGCCAGCAGCCGCGGUAAUUCCAGCUCCAAUAGCAUACAUUAAAGUUGCUGCGGUUAAAAAGCUCGUAGUUGGAUCUUGGAUCCGGACCGGCGGCCCAGCCAAGGCGCACCCCCGCCAGUACGGGACCGGGUCGAACUUGGGCGUCUCCUCUGCCUCGCCGGCGGCCCUCGAAUCCUUGGCGCUUCGUCGGAGACUCCGGUCUCCUUCGUCUGCGCGGAGUUCUUUUCGUGGGCGCCGUCGCGAGCUCCAGAGGGCGUCCGAGCUCUCGUGCCCACGUCUCGGUGGGUUAGUAGCGUUCGGCUGGAUUACCGCUCGGCUCUGGAUUGCAAAGAACGUCGGCUCACAUGGGGUGCUCUUCACCGAGUGUCCCGCGUGGCCGAUAAGUUCACUUUGAAAAAAUUAGAGUGCUCAGAGCAGGCAAAAACCCAAUGCCUGAAUGGUGGUACAUGGAAUGAUGGAACAGGACCUCGGUUCCGGCCCUUUGUCGGUUUUCGGAACCAGAGGUAAUGAUUAAAGGGAACAGACGGGGGCAUUCGUAUUGCGAGGCUAGAGGUGAAAUUCUUGGACCCUCGCACGACGAACUACUGCGAAAGCAUUUGCCAAGGAUGUUUUCGUUAAUCAAGAACGAAAGUCAGAGGAUCGAAGGCGAUCAGAUACCGCCCUAGUUCUGACCGUAAACGAUGCUGACCGGCUAUCCGCCGAAGUCAUUCCCACGACUCGGCGGGCAUCCUCCGGGAAACCAGAGUUUCUGAGUUCCGGGGGAAGUAUGGUUGCAAAGCUGAAACUUAAAGGAAUUGACGGAAGGGCACCACCAGGAGUGGAGCCUGCGGCUUAAUUUGACUCAACACGGGGAAACUCACCAGGCCCAGACACUGGAAGGAUUGACAGAUUGAGAGCUCUUUCUCGAUUCGGUGGGUGGUGGUGCAUGGCCGUUCUUAGUUGGUGGAGCGAUCUGUCUGGUUAAUUCCGAUAACGAACGAGACUCUGACCUGCUAACUAGUCGGCGGAUCGUCUCCCGAAGCCGACGGGUUCCCGCGCCUUGCCUCUGGCCUGGGUUUGCCCCGGGGCGUUCUAACCAUGCAGUCUUCCUCCUCGCCCCUCGUGGUGUCGGGUCCACGGACCCGCGCUGCUUCUUGGGGGGUGGAAUAGGCGGUGGUACCGUCCCGUGGGGUCCCGGUGACUCGGGCUCGGCCGGUUCCCUCGGCUCAUCGGGGUGUCCGUCGCAGCUUCUUCUUAGAGGGAUCGGCGGCGGCCAGCCGCACGAGAUCGAGCAAUAACAGGUCUGUGAUGCCCUUAGAUGUUCUGGGCCGCACGCGCGCUACAAUGGCGUGAUCAGCGGGCACCCCACUCCGAGAGGAGUGGGUAACCCCUGAAAUCAGUUCUCAAUAGGGAUUGGGGCUUGCAAAUGUUUCCCAUGAACGAGGAAUUCCUCGUAAGCGCGAGUCACCAGCUCGCGCUGAUUACGUCCCUGCCCUUUGUACACACCGCCCGUCGCUACUACCGAUUGAAUGAUUCAGUGAGGGCAUUGGACUGGCCCCGCGGAACCGUUCGCGGCACGCCCUCAACGCCUCCUCGCGAGGCGGGGCUGCCGCGGGCACUGCGGGCUGACGGAAAGAUGUCCGAACUUGAUCAUUUAGA